UGAUUCUGGGAGGACAAAUGGCUGG
rnacentral:piRNA from 1 species